AUUGAACGCUGGCGGCAGGCCUAACACAUGCAAGUCGAGCGGCAGCGGGACCUUCGGGUUGCCGGCGAGCGGCGGACGGGUGAGUAAUGCCUAGGAAUCUGCCUGUUAGUGGGGGAUAACGCGGGGAAACUCGCGCUAAUACCGCAUACGUCCUACGGGAGAAAGCGGGGGCUCUUCGGACCUCGCGCUAACAGAUGAGCCUAGGUCGGAUUAGCUAGUUGGUGGGGUAAUGGCCCACCAAGGCGACGAUCCGUAACUGGUCUGAGAGGAUGAUCAGUCACACUGGAACUGAGAAACGGUCCAGACUCCUACGGGAGGCAGCAGUGGGGAAUAUUGGACAAUGGGCGAAAGCCUGAUCCAGCCAUGCCGCGUGUGUGAAGAAGGUCUUCGGAUUGUAAAGCACUUUAAGUCGGGAGGGAGGGCUGUAGGCUAAUACCUUGCAGUUUUGACGUUACCGACAGAAUAAGCACCGGCUAACUUCGUGCCAGCCGCCGCAGUAAUAC
rnacentral:rRNA from 1 species